CACAAGGCAAGCAUCACAACAGUAA
rnacentral:piRNA from 1 species